ensembl:lncRNA
UGGGAGCGGUUGUUGUGGGGACUGUGAAGUGUUGGUAAUCAAUCCAUCGAUCGACGAGGCAGCCUGUGAAAGCCAAGACUCGGGGAGCCCGGCAAAGCUCGUGAGCCUCCACCUGGACCCGCCCGCCACAGUACUGAAUGGCCCAGACGAGUGGCACCCAAGCGGUAUACGACCAUCCGCCCUCCACCCAGGCUCGACGGUCGCUUGCGUUUCACCAACGAGGUGGACCCCCACCUCGUUCCACCUCCAAUUUGUGCUCCUUUUCAUUGCAACCAUCAUGACUCUGCUGAACACAGUGCUGCGUUCCACAGUCCAUCCUGGGAAUGCCACGGGCAGGACGCUAAUUUGUCGGCGGACUUGUAUUUCAUCUUCGACUGCAUCAGAACAGUACGGCCCGUUUCAUUUUAUUUGCUGGGUAAGUUCUGUGAAAGCCUCUGAUGUAGCUAUGAUACCUUUCAAAAAAAUUGAACUUUUAUUAAAUUCGAGCUGCAUUGCGAUUACAACUAAUUUGUGGAAAAACUUCGACUCGCCACUUCGUAACCUCAAGAGCCAGUGUGCAAACUCUCAGAUGAUAAUAGCUCCACAUGGUCCGUUUUUUCCAGAAAUACACAAUACCAGAAUAAUGGAGAAAAGCAUCUGCCAAAUAAAUACGUGUAAAUGUAAAUAGUGAAAAGGUGACGAAUGAUAUGUGACAGAUGAUCAGGCCACUGCGAGGCAAACUUCCCGCACAUCCCGCGACAGGACUUAACAUUUCUUUUCAUCACUACAUUUUUUUUUUUUUUAAAACUUAUUUUUAUCCAAUCUUUUUUGGUCCCUCAGCUGACCACGAGCACUCGUCAUCCCACCAGGACCCCCGUCACUCAUUUCCCAGGCUAUUUGCAGGGAGGGGGCACUUCCGCAGGUGUCGCAAGUCACAGACUCGACGAACGUCCCUCCGGGGACUAUUCGGCCGCCUGCGAAGGGACGUUCGUCGAGCAGCCGAAUAGUCACCGCAGAGCCCUUUGGACGUUGGGCUCCUGCCGCUAAUGCAAAGGUGUCGAACGGGGGUGCAGAACGGCCCACGGCGCCGCGAUCGGAUCAACGCUCGAGGCCAGAGGUACAAAUCCUACAUGCUGUCGCGGACACCUAUACUUAGCAGGAGACAAAAGUCAUAGGUAUGAAUGAGCUGAGAAACGGCCCCCAUGCAUCGCUCGGUACAGCUUUACUUGUGUUGUCGGCGGGGGGGGGGGGGCACAUAUAUUAUCCCAGCUGUAUACUGAGAAGCCGUCAGUAAGUGAACAUUCAUUUACUGAUGGCUUCUCAGUAUACAGCUAGGAUAAUAUAUAUAUAUAUAUAUAUAUAUACACACACACACACAUACACCACUCGGGGCAAUUCUUUCCCCUCAUCGCAUUUAUGGGUAGUAUUUACAUUUGCUAACCGCUUAUUAAAUAUUUACAAUUCUUUAUUAGCAUUUCGUUAUGCAGAAAACAUGACACUCGCUGCUUACUUGCAAACACACUGAGCACAUUUUGGAGUAGGAGGUUGGGCCUGCUGUAUUUGGUGCACCUUAAUCCCUUCGGGAACAAACAUUUCUGGGCCAAUAAACCGUUCUACAGUUAUUAAUUUCA